rnacentral:lncRNA from 1 species
AAGAAACCGUAAGGUUAGUUUCAAUUACGAGCAAGUCUAACAUACCUUCAGAAGGUGUGUCCUUUUUGUUCUUUAGGCUCUCGAGGUAUGAAGGGUAGUUCCUUUUCCAGUGGCCGUCGACAUUGCAGUGGAAAUAUUUUUCCUUGUCACUAGCCUUUUUCUUAUGAACUUCCUUCUUAGGCUUCUUAUCUUUCUUCUGCUUCUUUAUAGGCUUCUUUUU